ACCAAAGAAAGGACACCGGUUGUCUGUUUCAUUUCUCCCAGGAUCACCUGAAGCGCGUUUUCUUGAUGCCUAGCUUGCCAUGACACAGGAGGAGGGCAUUGAAUCUGGGCUGCUUUCGAGGAGAGCACCAGGCAGCCGGGUCCCCGCAGUCAAAGCAGCACCAUGGCGUCCUAGGGCCCACCCAUUCUAGAGAGGAGGACCGGAGUCUUACAAAGCCCACGCCCUGCGCUCGACAUGAGCACUUCUACGUGGUAGUUUCCUAGUGGUCGUGUUCAACACCAGUGAACCAGAAAGAGGGAAGGCUGCAGAUCAAAACAAAGAACUUCUGAGUGCCGGCUGGCGAAGCCGAUUCUUAAAGGUGUCCACCACCGAUAGAAGCUCACACAGGUCAAUCAGAAAUAACUAGUUAAAAGGAAAAGGCAGGUGCUUGCCCUGGGCCGAGCUUAUGAACGCAGACAUCCCAUAAUAGCAAAGCAUUUUCCAGGUCGCCGACCCUCAUCUGUGCCGGCCCCUCAGUGCAUACAGCAGGAAAUUGCCAUUCAAGAGGAGAGAGGGCUGGCCUACUGCUGACUUCUACCCAAGGGUAACCAUGUAAAGCCCUGUCCAGGCUUAAGCAAAUCAUCUUGGAACUUCCUCCAAACUGAGGACCCCCAGAGGAGGUCAGGUGAGCGUCUCUGGUUCUUUAGACCCAUGGCUCCACACCCCUGAAAGGACCACAUACUUUAGGAGCAGAUGAGAACCACUCUUCCCUCUAAUGCUACGUGGGCAUCAACCCUGUGGUGUCAGUGACCUGGUGUUUGAACUAAGUUCUUCAUCCCUGUGCUGGGUGAUUCCCGUUGCUAGCGCCUCCAACCUACAGGCGGAAUGCAGUCCCUCACACAACAGUACGGACGCUGUUGGGCUGCUGUUUCUUCUGAAUUGAAGUCAGUGAGACUUAAGGCAAACUCACAAGUCUGGGAAGCUUCUAGAACCUUCUAGAGAUUCUCAGGGCCCCAUCUCAAGGUUAUAUAAGCAGCAACAGUUGCUAGGGAAGUUUCAAGUCAGUGCCUGGACCUCCCAAGACUUGGCUUUCGUGAGCUUUGAGACAUCUUUGUGCUUGUGAGUCACCCCCUCCUUGUUCUUUGUCUUGUAAUUCCAGUCAACUCAUUGGACCACCAGACUUGAGUCAAGUCAUUCCUUUAACGUGUCAUGAUGCAGUUCCUGGGAUGAACACAUGUUUAUUCUUGUUGUCCCCUAGGAAAAGUGACACAGCAAACACCCGCAGAAAAUCUUAAACACUGAAUCUGCCCCCUCAAUGGCCUUCAAGGUCUUGGCCCCUGGAAACAGUCCUGCAUGCUGCACCGAGCCACUCAGGCUUGGAAAAGCCUUGGUUUGCCACCACCUGAAGGCCUCAGAGGAGGCUUUCUCAGGGACAUGGCUGAGAGCCCUGGGUACCUGCUUUGCUAGCACCACCUUUAAACCAUCCAGAGUGCACUCCCACCUUCCUUUCUCUCUCUCUGCAGCCUUCAUAUUGUGAAGUUGCCCUGAGCUUGGUCUAAACUCCUCCACAGUAGCGGCCCUCAGAACUAUCGUUUCCCAUGUAUAACUUGGAAGAUCAUGGACAAGAACACCUGAUGUAUGAUCUCUUUCCGGACUGAAACGUUUUGUUGUUGUUUUUGAAGCAGCCUCACUAUGUAGUCCAGGAUAACCUUUAAUGAUAAUACUCAAGCUUACCUCAAAGUCAGCACCCCUCUGCUUUAGCCUCCCAGGGCCCGGGUUUUCAGGUGUGUACCACCACAACCCUGGCUCUGAAAAAUGCUUCUGAGGACCCUUUAGCACACUGCUUCACUCUAUAAAACAUGUUUAAAACAGCAUAAUGAACAGGGAGCUGGGGGCAUAGUUCAGUCAACAGAGUUCAUGCCCGGAGGCCCCUAAAUCCUGGGUUCCAUUCAAGCACCACAUAAAUGGGGCUAUGGUGGUGCAUCCUGGGAUAC
ensembl:lncRNA